rnacentral:rRNA from 1 species
GGAUUAGAUACCCUGGUAGUCCUAGCUGUAAACGAUGGAUACUAGAUGUAGGAAUUGGAUUGACGAUUUCUGUAUCGUAGCUAACGCGUUAAGUAUCCCGCCUGGGGAGUACGGUCGCAAGACUAAAACUCAAAGGAAUUGACGGGACCCCGCACAAGCGGCGGAGCAUGCGGCUUAAUUCGAUGAUACCCGUAGAACCUUACCUGGACUUGACAGACGAGGAAAAGUUAUAGAGAUAUAAUGUGCGUAAGCGCCUCAAACAGGUGGUGCAUGGCUGUCGUCAGCUCGUGCCG